CUUGACAACAUUAAUAGCCAACA
rnacentral:siRNA from 1 species